GACGUAGGGCGCGAGCGUUGUCCGGAUUUAUUGGGCGUAAAGAGCUCGUAGGCGGCUUGUCGCGUCGACUGUGAAAACCCGCGGCUCAACUGCGGGCCUGCAGUCGAUACGGGCAGGCUAGAGUUCGGUAGGGGAGACUGGAAUUCCUGGUGUAGCGGUGAAAUGCGCAGAUAUCAGGAAGAACACCCGUGGCUAAGGCGGCUCUCUAGUACGGUACUGACGCUGAGACGCGAAAGCGUGGGGAGCGAACAGG
rnacentral:rRNA from 1 species